rnacentral:rRNA from 1 species
CGGCAGGCCUAACACAUGCAAGUCGAGCGGUAGCACAGGGAGCUUGCUCCUGGGUGACGAGCGGCGGACGGGUGAGUAAUGUCUGGGAAACUGCCUGAUGGAGGGGGAUAACUACUGGAAACGGUAGCUAAUACCGCAUAACGUCUUCGGACCAAAGAGGGGGACCUUCGGGCCUCUUGCCAUCAGAUGUGCCCAGAUGGGAUUAGCUAGUAGGUGAGGUAAUGGCUCACCUAGGCGACGAUCCCUAGCUGGUCUGAGAGGAUGACCAGCCACACUGGAACUGAGACACGGUCCAGACUCCUACGGGAGGCAGCAGUGGGGAAUAUUGCACAAUGGGCGCAAGCCUGAUGCAGCCAUGCCGCGUGUAUGAAGAAGGCCUUCGGGUUGUAAAGUACUUUCAGCGAGGAGGAAGGCAUUGUGGUUAAUAACCCCAGUGAUUGACGUUACUCGCAGAAGAAGCAACCGGCUAACUCCGUGCCAGCAGCCCGCGGUAAUACGGAGGGUGCAAGCGUUAAUCGGAAUUACUGGGCGUAAAGCGCACGCAGGCGGUCUGUCAAGUCGGAUGUGAAAUCCCCGGGCUCAACCUGGGAACUGCAUUCGAAACUGGCAGGCUAGAGUCUUGUAGAGGGGGGUAGAAUUCCCAGGUGUAGCGGUGAAAUGCGUAGAGAUCUGGAGGAAUACCCGGUGGCGAAGGCGGCCCCCUGGGACAAAGACUGA